GACGAACCGUGCGAACGUUAUUCGGAAUCACUGGGCUUAAGGCGCGUGUAGGCGGAUGGGAACGUCGGUAGUUGAAAGCCCCCGGCUCAACCGGGGAAGUGGUGCCGAAACGACCCGUCUGGAGGGACGUAGGGGGACCUGGAACUUCCGGUGGAGCGGUGAAAUGCGUUGAGAUCGGAAGGAACGCCCGUGGCGAAAGCGAGGUCCUGGACGUCUACUGACGCUGAGACGCGAAAGCUAGGGGAGCAAACGGG
rnacentral:rRNA from 1 species